rnacentral:sRNA from 1 species
GCCAGGUGUGGUGGCUCACGCCUGCAAUCCCAGCUUCUUGGGAGGCUGAGAUAGAAGAUCUUGAGUUCAAAGCCAGGCACAGCAAUUUAGCGAGGCCCUAAGCAACUCAGUGAAAUCCUGUCUCUA